GAUGAACGCUGGCGGCGUGCCUAAUACAUGCAAGUCGAGCGAACGGACGAGAAGCUUGCUUUUCUGAUGUUAGCGGCGGACGGGUGAGUAACACGUGGAUAACCUACCUAUAAGACUGGGAUAACUUCGGGAAACCGGAGCUAAUACCGGAUAAUAUUUUGAACCGCAUGGUUCAAAAGUGAAAGACGGUCUUGCUGUCACUUAUAGAUGGAUCCGCGCUGCAUUAGCUAGUUGGUAAGGUAACGGCUUACCAAGGCAACGAUGCAUAGCCGACCUGAGAGGGUGAUCGGCCACCCUGGAACUGAGACACGUUCCAGACUCCUACGGGAGGCAGCAGUAGGGAAUCUUCCGCAAUGGGCGAAAGCCUGACGGAGCAACGCCGCGUGAGUGAUGAAGGUCUUCGGAUCGUAAAACUCUGUUAUUAGGGAAGAACAUAUGUGUAAGUAACUGUGCACAUCUUGACGGUACCUAAUCAGAAAGCCACGGCUAACUACGUG
rnacentral:rRNA from 1 species